rnacentral:rRNA from 1 species
GUGGGGAAUAUUGGACAAUGGGCGCAAGCCUGAUCCAGCAAUGCCGCGUGGGUGAAGAAGGUCUUCGGAUCGUAAAGCCCUUUCGACAGGGACGAUGAUGACGGUACCUGUAGAAGAAGCCCCGGCUAACUUCGUGCCAGCAGCCGCGGUAAUACGAAGGGGGCUAGCGUUACUCGGAAUUACUGGGCGUAAAGGGCGCGUAGGCGGCUCUGUUAGUCAGGCGUGAACUUCCUGGGCUUAACCUGGGGACUGCGCUUGAUACUGCAGGGCUUGAGGCCGAGAGAGGGUGGUGGAAUUCCCAGUGUAGAGGUGAAAUUCGUAGAUAUUGGGAAGAACACCGGUGGCGAAGGCGACCACCUGGCUCGGUUCUGACGCUGAGGCGCGACAGCGUGGGGAGCAAACAGGAUUAGAUACCCGGGUAGUCC